rnacentral:lncRNA from 1 species
UAAAGUUUUAGGGGAUAAAAACAGAAGGAAGAAAAAAAAAACACUGAAUGGAACAGAGUGGAAGACAGCCCCAGCAGAUAAGGGGAGGUGAUCAUGUUGAAGAUUGAAGGGAGGUGUUGUUUAGGUUGGCAAAAAUUGAAGAGACUGAGGGUCCUGAGUGCUGUGGUCUUUGGGUAGUAACAGGGAUCUCUGGUGGGAGUGUGGGAAGAUGUAUGAUGUACACACCCCAUAGCACUGGAUUCUGUAUGCAGAUGAUUUAGAGGAUCACUUAAUCUUUCGUGUAGGUACCCUAACAGUUACUUGAUUGUAUAUACACCCACCCUAGAAACCCUUCUGCACAGCUACACCUGGGGUAAUGUACAAAGGCAGUCAUUUUCUUUAUUUUUCCUUUUGGUUUUUAUAUUGAUUGGUAGAUUGAUUGAUUGAUUGAGGUAAUGGGCAUUGGAUCUCGAAGCUCAUGUGUUAUCAAAGACCCCCACCACUGAGCUCUCCCCUCGUUCAACGCCUUCUCUUUCCUUUUUGAGACAGUAGUUUCACUAAGUUGCCCUGGAUACCCUUGAACUCAUUUUGUGGUCCAGGCAAGGCCUUGAACUUGUCCUCUUCUCACUUUCUCCUGAGUCUCUGAGAUGAUUGAUCUCUGUCAACAGACUGUCUUUAGCAUUCUUCUUGUCUAAUAGUCUAGUGGUAAAGCAGUAGGUGGAUGUGGUAAUUUUACAUGGUCAGAGUUAUUUCUGUGUUUUUUUCCUCUGUGUUCCCGUCUUGAGCACAUUCACUCUCCCACCACACUCUUAGCUGUUCUGUCUCUGGUUUACGCUGUUGUCCCUCAGCCUCCUCACUUUCCUCAAAUGAGCAGGACCCAGUUCACUGUGUUGUUUUCCUUUCAUCUGGAAUGCUUUCCCUCAGCAUUGGCUAGCUUUUCUAUUACUGGUCAUCUUCACUCUGUCUCCUAGUCUACUCUUCCUGUUUACAUUAAAACACCAAUCCUGACUUGUAGGUAUCUCCUAUUCUCUUUUCUUCUUCCUUUCUCCCCUUUUUACCAUGUAGCAUUUUAAAAAAUACACCAUGUGUCCAGUUAAGUAACAUUCUAAGGCAAGGUGUCUGAUUUACUCUAGAAUCCAAACUGUCUUGAUACUAGAACUAAAGCUAUAGGGAGCAGUAGACAGAUUAGAAAUGAAACCCCCAGAAUAGAGAACCUCAAGUACACAGACCCACAUAGUCACAGCUGACUCUAGUAACAGAAGCAAGUGUACAAUAGUGUUGUUGGCUUCAUGGAUAAAUUCCCAAAUAUUAGAUUUGUGUUAGAAAUGAGGUGACUGACUCAUCAAAAAAUCUAUCUAUCUAUCUAUCUAUCUAUCUAUCUAUCUAUCUAUCUAUCUAUCUAUAUCUAUUUUAAAAAGAGUAUUAAGGGGCUGGAGAGAUGACUCAGUGGUUAAGAACACUGACUGUUAUAAGUCCUGAGUUCAAUUUUCAGGACCACAUGGUGGCUCACAACCAUCUGCAAUGGGGUUCAGUGCCCACUUGGUGUGUCUGAAGACAUCGAUGGUGUACUCAUAUACAUAAUAUAAAUGAAUAAUUCCUAAAAAGCAGUAUAG